rnacentral:rRNA from 1 species
GAUGAACGCUAGCUACAGGCUUAACACAUGCAAGUCGAGGGGAAACGAUAUUGGAAGCUUGCUUCUGAUAGGCGUCGACCGGCGCACGGGUGAGUAACGCGUAUCCAACCUGCCCAUCACUUGGGGAUAACCUUGUGAAAGUAAGACUAAUACCCAAUGACGUCUCUAGAAGACAUCUGAAAGAGAUUAAAGAUUUAUCGGUGAUGGAUGGGGAUGCGUCUGAUUAGCUUGUUGGCGGGGUAACGGCCCACCAAGGCGACGAUCAGUAGGGGUUCUGAGAGGAAGGUCCCCCCACAUUGGAACUGAGACACGGUCCAAACUCCUACGGGAGGCAGCAGUGAGGAAUAUUGGUCAAUGGACGAGAGUCUGAACCAGCCAAGUAGCGUGCAGGAUGACGGCCCUAUGGGUUGUAAACUGCUUUUAUAAGGGAAUAAAGUGGGAGUCGUGACUCUUUUUGCAUGUACCUUAUGAAUAAGGACCGGCUAAUUCCGUGCCAGCAGCCG